UGUAACAUUCACAAGAACAUAAAUCCACAUCCACAAGAAAACUGGUUCAGUCCAGUUCCAAAAGUUUCAGCAAAACAAAGAAAUUUGAAUACAUCUCAUCAAAGUGUGACUAAAUGUAUACAAUGACUGUGCAUCUGUGGUUGUAAACCUGGGGAAUUUGGGGAAUAAUGGACCUGUGUUGUUGGGGGAACUCAACAACGAACAAGAGCUCAGAGAUCCCAGCGUCCAGCCUACAUCCAAAUAACUACAGAAGAGAACAAGCUUUGGAUCGAUAUUCUAUUUAACAGAAAGUGGCAAAACUAAAUAAGAAUGUCCUUAAAUGCAGUCAAAGCACUUCAAGCAGAUAAUGUCAAACACUCACGGCUGGCUCAGAAUACAAAGAGCUGGAGCAAUGCCAUCCAAAUCUUAAGUGAAUGAACAAAAUGGUGGGCUUUUGUCAUUAGGAUGGAAGAAAACCUGAUAGGGACUGGAGGACUAAGAAAAUCCCUGCCUAAAAGGUGUAUUUAACUGAAUGAAAAAAUGUAUUCAGAAAUUAAACAGCUAACCUUAAAUUCAUUGCUAACAUUCUGCACAAUCAAUCUAGUAGCCCUUUCCAACACCUCAGGUUUCUGAUUAUGGCAGUGCUUACUAGUCAUUUUGAUUUUAUAAUAUAAAUGGGUUCUGGUAUAUCAUGGACUGCAAAACAGUUCCCAGAGUUAAUCUGAAAGACAUUUUCUAAGAGUAUUUAGAACCAUGUUGAAACCCCCAAAUUUCCUUUCAGGUGUCCCAGACGCUCCACAAAGAAGACAGAGAUGUCUAGACAUACAUUUGGGGUAGGGAGUACAUAUGGGUAAGAGUCAGCAUUUAUUUUAAAGGAAAUUAGUGACUACUAUAGCCUUGGGAGUUUAUGAAUGUCAUCUAUAUUAUCUUGUUCUAUAAUAAAGUAGAUAAGUCACUUAACUAUAAAUGGUUAGUUUUGAUUUUGGGAUAAUGUGAGACUUGCCAAAAAUCAAGCUGAGUUAGACCUUGCAAUGGAAAUUAAAAAUAAAGAGUAAGAGAACCGUUAGUCAUCUAACCAAAAAGAGAACAAGGAAAGAAGUGAAGUGGGUCUAAGUAAUGUCCAGAAACAGAAUGAAUAUUUUUAGUUAAGUUUUCAAGAAAGAUGUUAAGGAUAAUGAGCAAAAGCAGGAUGGCUAAUGGCAAUCUUUGAUAACCCUUUUUUUUUAAGACAACAAAAAUUCAGGAUGAGGAUUUGUGAAAGAAUUGUAAAUGGGUAAGGCAAUCGCUAAAGGAGAGAUAACGGGAUUGUGCCAGAAAAGGAAUUUUUGGAUUAAAGGAAGAUAGUGGAUUUCCACAAGGAUUGAUUCUGGAACUGAUUUUAUAAAAUAUUUCCAUUAAUGACCCUGGUGCAAAAAACUGAAGUGUGCUAAUGAAAUUUGCUGAAAAGACAGAGGAAGAGGCAUCGUUAAUAAAUAAGACUACUGAAGUAUCAUGCAGGAGGAACUAAAUGACCCUGGAGCUAUAUAAAUUGAGAGAGAUGUAAUAGUACAAAGUCAUGCCCUUACGGAUUAACAAUAAUUUACACUAUAUGCUGGGAGCUCACCAGUUGGAAAAGAUGCAGAAGGAAAAAACCUUGUUGGAGUAGUGAGUCCAAGGAUAACUAUGAGUCACAAACAUGAUAUGGCUUAAAAAGCUAAACAUAAUGCCUCGACAAAUAU